rnacentral:rRNA from 1 species
AAUGGACGCAAGUCUGAUGGAGCAACGCCGCGUGAGUGAAGAAGGUUUUCGGAUCGUAAAGCUCUGUUGUUGGUGAAGAAGGAUAGAGGUAGUAACUGGCCUUUAUUUGACGGUAAUCAACCAGAAAGUCACGGCUAACUACGUGCCAGCAGCCGCGGUAAUACGUAGGUGGCAAGCGUUGUCCGGAUUUAUUGGGCGUAAAGCGAGCGCAGGCGGAAAAAUAAGUCUAAUGUGAAAGCCCUCGGCUUAACCGAGGAAUUGCAUCGGAAACUGUUUUUCUUGAGUGCAGAAGAGGAGAGUGGAACUCCAUGUGUAGCGGUGGAAUGCGUAGAUAUAUGGAAGAACACCAGUGGCGAAGGCGGCUCUCUGGUCUGCAACUGACGCUGAGGCUCGAAAGCAUGGGUAGCGAACAGGAUUAGAUACCCUGGUAGUCCAUGCCGUAAACGAUGAGUGCUAAGUGUUGGGAGGUUUCCGCCUCUCAGUGCUGCAGCUAACGCAUUAAGCACUCCGCCUGGGGAGUACGACCGCAAGGUUGAAACUCAAAGGAAUUGACGGGGGCCCGCACAAGCGGUGGAGCAUGUGGUUUAAUUCGAAGCAACGCGAAGAACCUUACCAGGUCUUGACAUCUAGCGCCAAUCGUAGAGAUACGAUGUUCCCUUCGGGGACGCUAAGACAGGUGGUGCAUG